rnacentral:rRNA from 1 species
AGUGAACGCUGGCGGUAGGCCUAACACAUGCAAGUCGAACGGCAGCACAGUAAGAGCUUGCUCUUACGGGUGGCGAGUGGCGGACGGGUGAUGAAUACAUCGGAAUCUACUUUUUCGUGGGGGAUAACGUAGGGAAACUUACGCUAAUACCGCAUACGACCUACGGGUGAAAGCAGGGGAUCUUCGGACCUUGCGCGAUUGUAUGAGCCGAUGUCGGAUUAGCUAGUUGGCGGGGUAAAGGCCCACCAAGGCGACGAUCCGUAGCUGGUCUGAGAGGAUGAUCAGCCACACUGGAACUGAGACACGGUCCAGACUCCUACGGGAGGCAGCAGUGGGGAAUAUUGGACAAUGGGCGAAAGCCUGAUCCAGCCAUACCGCGUGGGUGAAGAAGGCCUUCGGGUUGUAAAGCCCUUUUGUUGGGAAAGAAAAGCAGUAGGUUAAUACCCCGCUGUUCUGACGGUACCAAAAGAAUAAGCACCGGCUAACUUCGUG